AUACGGAGGAUGCGAGCGUUAUCCGGAUUUAUUGGGUUUAAAGGGUGCGUAGGCGGCCUUUUAAGUCAGCGGUGAAAGUCUGUGGCUCAACCAUAGAAUUGCCGUUGAAACUGGGAGGCUUGAGUAUGUUUGAGGCAGGCGGAAUGCGUGGGGUAGCGGUGAAAUGCUUAGAUGUCACGCAGAACCCCGAUUGAAAGGGCGGCCGCCCAAGCCAUGACUGACGCUGAUGCACGAAAGCGUGGGGAUCAAACAGGAUUAGAUACCCUGGUAGUCCACGCAGUAAACGAUGAUCACUAGCUGUUUGCGAUACAUUGUAAGCGGCACAGCGAAAGCGUUAAGUGAUCCACCUGGGGAGUACGCCGGCAACGGUGAAACUCAAAGGAAUUGACGGGG
rnacentral:rRNA from 1 species